CACGCAUUGAUGAUCAAGUUUCAUUUUACAGUAUAGACAUGGGUUGUACAACAUACAUUUAACUUUUGUUGUGCUGCAUGAAUUUGAUUGAAAACAAUACAAUGUUACUAAGUUAUCUUAUUAUACUUCGGGUUCUUACGAAAGUUAUGGGACAGGAGGAAAACUUUGAAUCCGUGCCGAUGGUAAAUUAUAGCUUGAGACAAACUAUGAUAGACAACUCUGGUCUGGACACAUCUGAAACACAUAUCAUAAGGUUGAAACGAGGCAUACCUGCCAUGAGAGAAGACGGAGGUGCACGGGCCGAUCAUCCUCAGUUCAUCAUUACAGAAGUCAUGAGCACCGUAACAGUCACAGAAGCAGCUACUUACGCAUAUGAGAAUACUACGCAUUCGCAGAAUAAUAAUUCUAAUGCAGUCACGUGCAAUGUGUCUUCAAAUGUAUGUUUUAUUUACACACUUCCUAUGCUUGUGACAUUCCAGCUGUAUUUAUUAUAAUGUAUAAACUAAUGUAAUGGUACUUAAAGGACAUGACAAGAAAGGUUGGAAAAACUCAAAAAAACAAUCUGGUCUAAUAUGUAUCUUACAUAUAUGUCAAAACAUUCUUUCCAACUGUUUCUUAUAUUGUCUGACGUCAACGUUUAAGACUUAAAGCCCCACUAUCUGUUUUGAGCAGUGUAAUUGUUUAUAUUGUCGAAUAAAGAAAUAAAUUGCUGGUUGCAUUAAACCUUCACUUCUUGUUAAUAUUCUUACUUAAAGAGCUAUUGAAAGUAUUGAUAUAAGCUUAAUUAACACUGUACACAAUGUCUAUUCAGGACAAAUCAAUCUAAAAUUGUACGUUUUAGAACAUUAUGCUAUCGGAUUUAAAUAUCUUUCGUUUUCUUCAAAGGUCUCAU